rnacentral:rRNA from 1 species
UGGGGAAUUUUGCACAAUGGGGGAAACCCUGAUGCAGCGACGCCGCGUGAUUUAGAAGGCCUUCGGGUUGUAAAAAUCUUUUUUAUGGGAUGAAAAUGACAGUACCAUAAGAAUAAGGUCCGGCUAAAUACGUGCCAGCAGCCGCGGUAAUACGUAUGGACCGAGCGUUGUCCGGAAUCAUUGGGCGUAAAGGGUACGUAGGCGGCCCAGUAAGUUAGAAGUGAAAUAAUAUAGCUCAACUAUAUAAAGCUUUUAAAACUGCUAGGCUUGAGAGAUGGAAGGGAAAGUGGAAUUCCUAGUGUAGCGGUGAGAUGCGCAGAUAUUAGGAAGAAUACCGGUGGCGAAGGCGACUUUCUGGUCAUCAUCUGACGCUGAGGUACGAAAGCGUGGGUAGCAAACAGG